CCAGCACCUCAAGUGGUCAGGAGGAUUAUUGGGCAUAAAGCAUCCGUACCUUGUUUUAUAAGUUUGCGGGUAAAUCUAUACGCUCAACGUAUAGGCUGCUGUAAAUACUGUAGAACUAGGGAGUGGGAGAGGUAGACGGUACUCGGUAGGAAGGGGUAAAAUCCUUUGAUCUAUCGAUGACCACCUGUGGCGAAGGCGGUCUACCAGAACACGUUCGACGGUGAGGGAUGAAAGCUGGGGGAACAAACCGGAUUAGAUACCCGGGUAGUCCCAGCUGUAAACGAUGCAGACUCGAUGAUGCAAUGGCAUAGAGCUAUUGCAGUAUCGCAGGGAAGCCGUUAAGUCUGCCGCCUGGGAAGUACGUACGCAAGUAUGAAACUUAAAGGAAUUGGCGGGGGAGCACCACAAGGGGUGAAGCCUGCGGUUCAAUUGGAGUCAACGCCAGAAAUCUUACCCGGAGAGACAGCAGAAUGAAGGUCAGGCUGAAGACCUUACCAGACAAGCUGAGAGGUGGUGCAUGGCCGUCGUCAGCUCGUGCCGUGAGAUGUCCUGUUAAGUCAGGUAACGAGCGAGAUCCCUGCCACUAGUUGCUAUUAUUACUCUCAGGAGUAGUGGGGCGAAUUAGUGGGACCGCCACAGUUAAUGUGGAGGAAGGAAGGGGCCACGGCAGGUCAGUAUGCCCCGAAACUCUGGGGCCACACGCGGGCUGCAAUGGUAGUGACAAUAGGCUCCUAACUCGAAAGAGAGAGGCAAUCCAAAAACACUACCACAGUUAUGACUGAGGGCUGUAACUCGCCCUCACGAAUAUGGAAUCCCUAGUAACUGCGUGUCAUUACCGCGCGGUGAAUACGUCCCUGCUCCUUGCACACACCGCCCGUCGUUUCAUCGAAGUUUGCUUUUAGUGAGGUGAUGUUUUAUGGCCAUAUCGAACU
rnacentral:rRNA from 1 species